rnacentral:rRNA from 1 species
GACGAACGCUGGCGGCGUGCUUAACACAUGCAAGUCGAACGGAAAGGCCUGCUUUCCCUUGUGGAUUGCGGGUACUCGAGUGGCGAACGGGUGAGUAACACGUGAGUGAUCUGCCCCCAACUUGGGUAUAAGCCUGGGAAACUGGGUCUAAUUCCCGAUAGGACUGCAGGGUGGUGCCUGUGGUGGAAAACGAUUUUCUAGUGGUUGGGGAUGAGCUCGCGGCCUAUCAGCUUGUUGGUGGGGUAAUGGCCUACCAAGGCGGCGACGGGUAGCCGGACUGGGAGGGUGGACGGCCACAUUGGGACUGAGAUACGGCCCAGACUCCUACGGGAGGCAGCAGUGGGGAAUAUUGCACAAUGGGCGGAAGCCUGAUGCAGCGACGCCGCGUGGGGGAUGACGGCCUUCGGGUUGUAAACUCCUUUCGACCGCGAGGAAGCCACCUGGUUGGAAGGGUGGUGACGGUAGUGGUAGAAGAAGCACCGGCUAACUACGUG